CUCCGUGCCCACGAAGCAGCUUCCGCCACCUCCCUACUACCCAAGGGAAGAUAAGAAAGCCCAGUAGGCGCCUCCCACCUCCUGUCUUCUGCCUCCCUCCCUGUCCUUGUUUCCUACCCCUUCCCUCUGGGCUGGGGCUGGGGCUGGGGCUGGGGCUGGGGCUGGGGCUGGGGCUGGGGAGGUGAGGGAGGGCCUCGCUCUUCUCCAGGUCUGAUCAUAAAUAGUUACCAGGAAGGAGUGCUGGGGGCCAGAGGCUUCUCUGGCCUCAGGAGAGGCCCCGCCCAGCUUCCCAGCCGGCUCUGACCCCACCGCGCUGCUCAGCAGGCCUCCCUCACAGCUCUGGGGCUCUUGGGAGCAUAGGUGUCCCCCAUCUACCAUUUCACUCUAGUGGUUUCUCCCUACACGGGACUCUCUGGCUACCUUUUCCACUGCAGUCCCGCUCCCUUGGUCUGGCAGCCACUCUACACUCAGUCUCAUGACCCCCUGAGACCAGCCAGGUGUCUUGCCCAAAACCCCCACCAGGUCUGGUUCACACUCCCUCCUCUUGUCUGUGCCUGGCCUGGAAAGACCACCAUGUACGGACCGUCAGCCCAGAUUCCACUCAGCGAGGUUCUGGCCCCAGCCACUGUCACCCUCCCCUUCCCCGUCUGGGUCAUGCUGUUGCCACUCCAUGUGACUUUCGAGGGGAAGAGUGAAGGACAAAAUGGAAAGAGGCCAGGAGCAUUGUGUUCUCUCCAAGUGGAAGGAAACCUCUGGAAUGGGAAAGAAGCAUUCUCUCCUAACAUGGCGUGGUCCUAG
rnacentral:lncRNA from 1 species